AUGGCACACAAUAAAUCACCAGGCCCAGAUGGUUUUACUGCUGAAUUCUAUCAACAUUUUUGGGACCUGGUGAAAGAUAUCAAAGAACUCUUUGACGAUUUUCAUAAAUGGCAACUAGAUAUUGUUCGACUUAACUAUGGUAUUAUUACUUUAGUGCCUAAGACUAAGGAAGCUAACCAAACACAAAAAUUCAGACCAAUGUGUUUACUGAAUGUUAUAUUCAAAAUCUUUACAAAAGUCCUAAUGAAUAGGCUAAAUGGUGUUGCAGGUGAAGUUAUUUCACCCAUACAAACUGUUUUUGUGAAAGGAAGAUAUAUUAUGGAGGGAGUCCUUAUCUUUUUUUACUAUGUAAUGCAAGGCAACAACCUCACAACUCUUUGUUAUAACUCAAAAUAA
rnacentral:rRNA from 1 species